GCUCGCGGCCUCCUGGUCUCGUUCAGGCGGAGGACUGGGGGCGGCAGACGCCUCAGAGCUCGCCGCCCACCGAGUGUGCAGCGGAAGGCGACGCGCGACGGGCGAGGACGGAGAACGGCCUCGGGUGUGCGUCCGGCCGUCGGAAAAUCUCGAAGGGGCGGGAGGAGUCCGGCAGGUGAUUUUGGGGGGCACAAAAACCUUCUUUGAAGAACUUUGUACAGUGUUGAAGGAUGGCAGAAGCAGUAUUGAUAGAUCUCUUUGGUUUGAAAUUAAACUCUCAGAAAAACUGUCAUCAGACAUUACUAAUGACAUUGAAUGCUGUCCGAAACCACCAUGGUGCCAAGGCCAAGUUCCUUUGCAUAAUGUGUUGCAGUAACAUCAGCUGUGACCAUGAUGAUUGUGAAUUAGAAACAAGCAAUGGAUUAUCUGCUUUCCUGAGAGAAUUUGAGACUGUUAGCAAUUCCAGCAUGGCUGCCUCAUUGUAUACCAUUAAACAAAAAAUUGAUGAAAAAAAUUUGAGCAGCAUUAAGGUAAUUGUGCCUGUGCACCGGAAGACAUUAAUGAAGGCUUUUAUUGGUCAACUCUUCACUGAUGUUUACAAUUUUGAGUUUGAAGAUUUACAGAUGACUUUGAGGGGAGGUCUUUUGAAACAGCCUACUGAAAUAAACAUAAUCACAGCUCAAGAACUAGAAGCAAUCCAGAAUGAAAUAGAAACAUAUUUGAGAAGUUUGCCAACACUGAAAGGAGAAUUAACCAUUAUCACAUCUCCUUUGAUCCCAGAUAUUUUCAUACAUGGAUUUACUACAAGAACAGGUGGGAUAUCUUACAUACCAACUCUUAGCUCAUUCAACCUCUUCAGUAGUUCCAAACGGAGAGAUCCCAAGGCUGUUGUUCAAGAAAAUCUGCGUAGGCUGGGGAAUGCAGCAGGAUUUAACGUGAAGAAAUUUUACCGAAUAAAGACUGAUCAUGCCAAUGAUGUCUGGAUUAUGGGAAGGAAGGAGCCUGAAUCUUACGAUGGAAUCACCACAAAUCAAAGAGGAGUCACAAUAGCGGCUCUUGGUGCUGACUGUAUACCGAUAGUUUUUGCCGAUCCUGUCAGAAAAGCAUGUGGGGUUGCUCACUCUGGUUGGAGAGGUACUUUGUUAGGUGUUGCUAUGGCUACAGUGAAUGCUAUGAUAGCAGAAUACGGCUGUAGUUUGGAAGACAUUAUUGUUGUACUGGGGCCUUCAGUAGGACCUUGCUGUUUUACUCUUCCAAGGGAAUCAGCAAAGGCAUUUCAUAAUCUUGAUCCCGGAUGUGUACGGCUCUUUGGCUCACCAAAUCCCUAUGUUGACAUCCGUAAAGCCACGAGGAUUCUUCUAGAACAGGGAGGAAUUCUACCACAGAAUAUUCAGGACCAGAACCAAGAUCUCAACCUCUGUACCUCCUGUCAUCCUGACAAGUUUUUCUCCCAUGUCCGAGAUGGCCUUAACUUUGGUACACAGAUUGGCUUCAUAUCAAUUAGAGAAUGAGAUACUUGAUUGGAUUUUUGCAUAACUAUUUCCUGCUUCCUUCCAAACCAACUGUAAGAGAGAAAUUUAGCUGUUUGAUAUACUUAAAACCAAAAGGAUUAUAAUGAAUAAUUCAUCUUUCAGAUAUAUUUUCAUUAUUAUCCAAAGCCAAAUGAUUUCAUUGAUUCUAACAAUAACUGACACAAAAUUAAUAUGAUGUAUUGGGUUGGCCAAAGAUUUGCUCAGUUAAUGAAUACGUUGUUCAAUAAUGUUCUUGGUGAAAAUGAAAAAUGUGUCUUUUAUUUUUACUUAAACCCAAAUGAACUUUUUGGCCAACCCAAUAGUUUAUAUGUUACACAGAUAAGGAUUAUUCUUAAAGUUUGUAGUCUGUAUUUGUUAUGUAAAUCAGGAAUAGGUCUAUUCAGUUUAGUAUUUAUUGGGUAGCCUCUAUUUGUCAAGUGUUGUGUGAAUCAUAGGUGAAAUCAAGAUGAGUAAUACUUUUUCCCUUUGAGUCUAAUGCAGUGGAAGAGAUAAACACUUCUAACACUUUAAUUUUAAUAGCCAAAGAGUACAGGAGAAGGGAGGAUUAAUUCUAUGUGAAAGGCAGAAUAGAGAAGGUAUUACAGGGAACAUGAUUUACCACAUGCGCCUGAAAGAUGAUGUAUAGGCUUUUGACAAAUAAAGAACAGCCAUAACAGGUAGAGGGAAUACCAUAAACUAGGGCGUGAAGCUGUACGUGUAUAACAUGUUCUGCAAAGAGAAAGGUGUGGGCAGGAGUUACUGGAAAAACAGCUUAGAAACAGAUUAGUUCAGGUCUUGAAUACUGUGAGAGAGUUUGGAGUUUAUUUUCCAGGCAAAGAGUAGGCAUAGAAAGUAGGAGAGUGUUUUUAUGUCCUUGGCAUUAUAUUUAACAGGAUGGAUUUAACUUGUGAGAGACUAAAGCAGAGAGAUUAGUUAAGAGGCAGUCACGAUACUUUUAAAAACAAAUAAUGAAACCUGAAUGCAGUGGAAAUUAAAACAGAGGCAAGAGUAGAUGAAUUAGCGAGACAUUUCAGAGAUGGAAUCUGCAGAUCCUGUUCCUAGAUCAUGGAGGUAAGAGAUGAGGAAGAGUGGAGAAGUCCCUGAUGCCUCCACAGUCUCUGCUUGGCUGACUACCUAGAGUGGCAGCAAAGAUGGGGAGGAGGUUUGGGGCAAUGGGGAGGGAUGAUGAGAUUGACACAAAGACUGAAGUACAUCCAGGUGGAAAUUAUGUGGUCAACAAUUAGAAAUAGAGACCAGGAACCUGGGAGGGAGUUGCGAAAAAGACAGCAAUUUGGGAGUUGGUUAUGCAGAGGCAAUGCCCGAGUCUGCUGGAAUAGGCUGGAUCAUCUCCGUAGAAACAUAGAGUGAGAAGAAGGGAGGUCCAAGGAUGAAACCUCAUGCAACACUUGCAUUUGGAGAGCCAGAAGCUGAACCAGUCAAAACGAUUGAUCCUAGAAGAAAAAAAUGUAUAGUCAUUUUGGAGAAAGAAGCCAGCAUCGAUAUGAGAGGAAAAGAAAUCUUCAGGGAGUUCCCUGGUGGCCUAGUGGUUAGGAUUUGGUGCUUUCACUAUGGAGGCCCAGAUUUGAUCCCUGGUCCGCAUCUUGCAUGCCAUUCAGCGUGGCCAAAAUACAAAAAUAAAUAAGUAAGUAAGUUAAAAAAAAAAAAGAAAUCUUCAGAGAGAAAAUGAGAAGAAACCAAUGGAUUAACCAUGUUGAAGCUGUUCUAUAGGUCAUGGUGGAGGAGUCAGAUUUCAGUUCUUUGAGGACGAGGAUGCACCAGUGUCAACCCUUCUUCGCUAGUAUUUAUUGGAGAAAAUAAAGCACCGAGGGCUGUAUUUUGAAGCAUGUGUGUGUGUGUGUGUGUGUGUGGGGGAUGAGUAGUCUUAAGUGUAUUUGUAGGCUGAAGAGAGGAGUUAGGCUGUUUUCACUUGGGAAAAAUGGUAUGUAUGGUACAUACUUUUAAUGUGAAUUGUCACAUUGUACCUUAAAAAGCUUUCUUAUUUCAUACAUAUAUUUCUUACCUGAAUAUGCAGAAAAUUACAUUUGUUUGGUACUUAUAAAGGACUUUCAAGUCCAUUACCUCAUUUUACCUUUACAGGUACCUUGAAGUACAUGUCAGGUGCUAUUCCUUUUAUUCAGAUGAGAAAACUGAGCCUCGUUCAGGUAGAGGCUAAAAUCACAUAAUUUGUGAUAAAGUAAGAUUUGAACCCACAUCUUGUGACUCCAAAUGUCAUUUCAGAUUUUACAGUUAAUCAGAGCUAUCUAAAUUAAAUUUUUGCAACUUUUUGUUAAUAUCACGUAUUCAUCCACUCAGUCAAAAUUUUGUUGAGGUGCUAGGGUAGGUUAAAAAUCAUAGUUAUGGCCCUCAAAAUAUUUAAUAUCCAGUGAAAGUGACAUUCAAUAAAGCAACAAUUUUAAUACUGUGAUAUGUGUUGUAAGGUUGCUUAAUUCUUUUAUGUAACUCAUAGCUCAGUGUGAAAUUUAUAUAUAACACCUCAUUUCUUCCAAUUUAGGGAAGGCAUUAAAUACAAAUCAUAGGACAAACUCAUGCAAUCAAACUCAUGUAAAAUACUCUUGUUUCAUGAUAACAAUAAGAUUAAGAAAUAAUUCCAUUGAGAAAGAUGGAUAAUUUUCCAGUUCUUCACUGUAUAUUAUUUUGUUGAAUGCAGAGUAUUAGGCAGCCAUGUUUUACUUUAUGUAUCAAAGUACUCCAAAACCAAAUAAAAAUUAUGUUUGAUUAUCUAUGAUUUUGCAUUAUCUGUGUCAAAGCAUAGAAUGAAAAGUUGUCUCCUUGCUGUUUUACUGAGUGAAAAGUAUUUAUUCAGUAACUCAAAAACAGAAUGUUGGUUGUUAAAUAGUCAUAUCUUAUUGCCUCUACAAGAUCUCUCUCAUUUUUAAGCAUUUGUAUAUAGGUUUCUGGGACUUUCAGGGUGUAACUACAAUGAUGACUUUUAAUAAGUUUUCUGUUUUCAAUCUAAGCACUACUACUAACUGCACAUAGAAAAUAUAAGUUGUCAUUUUAGUAAGACGAUAAAUUAAGUUUGUAAAUCAGAGCUCAUGACAUGAUUUUUUAGAGGUGCUAAUUAGCGAACUAAAAUUUAUCUAAUUGUAAUUUUAAAUUCUGAAGAGUAGCAUAGUGAUUAAAUAUGCUAUACUCCAUUGCUUUAUAAAGCAAAGGAAAAAAUGAUCUUUCCACUAGGAGGUAGUAUUUCUACAAGUAGCUCUGCUCUGUUUCUUGGUAUAAAGUUGAACCAAUCUUAAUCUCUAUUUAUUUGUACAAAACACAUAUAUAGCUCUUACUGUAGAUGCAACUUAUUAUAGUUCAAGUAGGUAAAAACAUUUAGGAAUCCUCACCUACCUGGGUCUCACUUCUACAGAAUCUCCAGUAACUGCUCUUCUGUAAAUAGAUUGGGGGGUGGGAGGGAUUCAAAGAAGCUUAUUCUGUGUCACAUGACAAAAACAUACAUGAUACCCAUGGAUUCAGAAGCUGGAAAUAAGAGGACAGUGACAUAUGAACUCAUUUUAUAUCUCAAAGUAGGAUUUGAUCUUUGUUUUCACUCAGUUGUCCUAAAGUUAUACUUCCGAUGUAUCCAUCCUUUUAUGUGAACUCUUCGUGCCACCAAUCUUAGACAUGGAUCUGUGUGUGUGCUAAAUGGUAAACAAGAAGUAUGUGCCAUGUAUGGUGCAUAGCCUCUUUGCCCCAGCUACUGUAAAGUCACACAAAAUACAUUGGAUGCAGUGGAAUCAUAGAUUUCCCUCUAUAAAAAUUUUGUAUAUCGGGCAGUAAAGAAUGGAAGCAUGGUCCUUAUGCUCACUGUAUGUGUUUAUGGGAGCUCUGGUCUAGAGCACGUCCAUUUCCAUUGUAGGCAGUGUUUUUAAACUUUACUUGUGAUUUCAAAGAUGAGGCAACUGCUGUAAGUAAUGCAUUGUUCCGUGUGAGGUCAUUGCUUAAUGAAGGAAAAAGAAAUCUGCCAGUACUGCUUUUUCCGGAUUAAUGCAUUUGGUUUGGACUCACAAUGAUUAUAUGUCAGUUGUGUGGAGACAAACUUCUCAUACUCUCCGUAGACACAUUUUCUUCGUAGAGAAAGAAAUGGUUACAUCACGCUCCCUAUGUCUGUGCCAAUUGCCUGAGGUGAGCUAUGUCCUUUCUGUAUCUGGAGCAGGCUUUUUCUUUUAUGUAGUUCUCAAAAGACUGGGGUGUCCAGUUACUGUAUCUUAUUAAACAAUUAAAAUUUCUAGCAGAUUCAGUAGCUCAAAAUACCACAUUCCUUUCUAACAACAACAAAAAGGGUACUCUCAUUCCAUGAGAAACAUCUGUAGAAAAUAGACCUGUUUGUGGUGACAAUUGAGUUUUGAAUUUUUAUUUUCCUUUAUUUUCUUCUAUUUAUUUUUGCAUCAUACAUUCCUACAGUUUACAUCUUACCAGUGCUUCCCUAUUAUUUCACUUUCCUUAAGUACUUGUUUUAGCCUGAAUCUAAUCAAGCUCUAGAGCUAAUUAUCAAUGUGUAAGAAAUAUGGGGGAGGGAGGAUUAAGUUAAAGGAUACCACAAAUUUGGGGUGGUAAAAAAGUGAUCCACUUUUUGAAACUGGUCAAGAAUUUUAAAAAGGGUGGGAGAUACAGCUGAAACCAAUAUGUCAACUAUACUUCAAUAAAAUUUUUUUUAAAUAAAAAAGUGGCUAUAUCAUUUUACCAAAAAAAAAGAUAGGAGGGGGACUAUUCUGGAUUAAAAUAAAUUUAUUAGACCUAACAGUCCCAUGAAAUGAGUGGGCCUAGUUUGGAUUCCAAUGAGAAGAAAUAAACUA